GGCCUACGGGUGGCUGCAGUGGGGAAUAUUGCACAAUGGGCGCAAGCCUGAUGCAGCCAUGCCGCGUGUAUGAAGAAGGCCUUCGGGUUGUAAAGUACUUUCAGCGGGGAGGAAGGUGUUGCGGUUAAUAACCGCAGCAAUUGACGUUACCCGCAGAAGAAGCACCGGCUAGCUCCGUGCCAGCAGCCGCGGUAAUACGGAGGGUGCAAGCGUUAAUCGGAAUUACUGGGCGUAAAGCGCACGCAGGCGGUCUGUGAAGGCGGAGGUGAAAUCCCCGGGCUCAACCUGGGAACUGCAUUCGAAACUGGCAGGCUAGAGUCUUGUAGAGGGGGGUAGAAUUCCAGGUGUAGCGGUGAAAUGCGUAGAGAUCUGGAGGAAUACCGGUGGCGAAGGCGGCCCCCUGGACAAAGACUGACGCUCAGGUGCGAAAGCGUGGGGAGCAAACAGGAUUAGAUACCCCGGUAGUCCC
rnacentral:rRNA from 1 species